rnacentral:rRNA from 1 species
AGAGUAUGAUCAUGGCUCAGGACGAACGCUGGCGGCGUGCUUAACACAUGCAAGUCGAACGGUGAACCAGGGCUUGCCCUGGGGAUCAGUGGCGAACGGGUGAGUAACACGUGGGCAACCUGCCCCAGACUCUGGGAUAACUUCGGGAAACCGGAGCUAAUACCGGAUACGAAUCGAGUUGGCAUCUUCUCGAUUGGAAAGUUUUUCGGUCUGGGAUGGGCCCGCGGCCUAUCAGCUUGUUGGUGGGGUAAUGGCCUACCAAGGCGACGACGGGUAGCCGGCCUGAGAGGGCGAACGGCCACACUGGGACUGAGACACGGCCCAGACUCCUACGGGAGGCAGCAGUGGGGAAUAUUGCGCAAUGGGCGAAAGCCUGACGCAGCGACGCCGCGUGAGGGACGACGGCCUUCGGGUUGUAAACCUCUUUCAGCAGGGAUGAAGCGAAAGUGACAGUACCUGCAGAAGAAGCACCGGCUAACUACGUGCCAGCAGCCGCGGUAAUACGUAGGGUGCAAGCGUUGUCCGGAAUUAUUGGGCGUAAAGAGCCCGUAGGCGGCUUGUCACGUCGGAUGUGAAAAUCCAGGGCUCAACCCUGGACCUGCAUUCGAUACGGGCAGGCUAGAAUUCGGUAGGGGAGACUGGAAUUCCUGGUGUAGCGGUGAAAUGCGCAGAUAUCAGGAGGAACACCGGUGGCGAAGGCGGGUCUCUGGGCCGAUAUUGACGCUGAGGAGCGAAAGCGUGGGGAGCGAACAGGAUUAGAUACCCUGGUAGUCCACGCCGUAAACG